rnacentral:rRNA from 1 species
UACGGAGGGGGCUAGCGUUGUUCGGAAUUACUGGGCGUAAAGCGCACGUAGGCGGCUUUGUAAGUUAGAGGUGAAAGCCCAGGGCUUAACUCUGGAAUUGCCUUUAAGACUGCAUCGCUAGAAUCGUGGAGAGGUGAGUGGAAUUCCGAGUGUAGAGGUGAAAUUCGUAGAUAUUCGGAAAGAACACCAGUGGCGAAGGCG